GUGCCAGCAGCCGCGGUAAUACGUAGGGGGCAAGCGUUGUCCGGAUUUAUUGGGCGUAAAGCGCGUGUAGGCGGCCAGAUAGGUCCGCUGUGAAAGCUCGAGGCUUAACCUCGAGAAGUCGGCGGAAACCAUCUGGCUAGAGUCCGGAAGAGGAGAGUGGAAUUCCCGGUGUAGCGGUGAAAUGCGCAGAUAUCGGGAAGAACACCCGUGGCGAAGGCGGCUCUCUGGGACGGUACUGACGCUGAGACGCGAAAGCGUGGGGAGCAAACAGGAUUAGAAACCCGUGUAGUCC
rnacentral:rRNA from 1 species